rnacentral:tRNA from 1 species
GAGGGUAUACCUCAGGCGGUGGAGUGCGUGCUUCACGUGCAUGAGGUCCUGGGUUCAAUCCCUAGUACUCCCU